AAUCCUUGCUCUCAGUCCACAGAAUAGACGCUUCAAGAUCAUCUGGAUCAUAAGGUGUUAGCAGCACUGGGUGAGUGGGUCCAAAGGAAUGCUUCAAAGCCUUUCCACUGGCUUUAUUAACCAAAGCAAAGGAGGGAAAGCCUUCCUCAUCCUUUACCAUUGUGCUGAAUUUCUCGUCUUUGUACCAGUGUUGGAACUCAUCAGAUGGAUCUGGAGGUGCUAGAACCACUUUCCCAUCUCUGAUCGUGAGAAAAAAAUUAGGAUCAGCCUUGCAAUAAACCUUAUAGGAAGG
rnacentral:misc_RNA from 1 species